UCCUGGCUUCUGAGGGCUUGCACCUGGAAGGCUCCUUGCGCCUGGGCCCCGAGGCCGUGCCAAGCAGCUAGAACAAGAGGCCCUGUGGUGUGCAGGGAGCUCUGCUGAUGGGAUGACUGCACAGCUCUGCUGGUUGCCCUACAGCGCUGCCAAGCACUGUUACCUUAAACUCUCUGCAGACAUCCUGUGCUGGAACCAAAGAGUUCCCACCUGAAGAAGUUGAGCACAACUAUGAGUGGUCCCCUUCUCCCACAAGGCCAUCAUUGCUCCCCAAACCAGGGGGCCAGCCAAAAUCAUUCUUUCAUGGAAGGCCCAAGGACUACCUGAAAAAUCUUCAAAAACUAA